UACAGAGGGUGCGAGCGUUGUUCGGAAUUAUUGGGCGUAAAGGGUGCGUAGGCGGCGCGGUAAGUCGGGUGUGAAAUCUCGGGGCUUAACUCCGAAACUGCAUUCGAUACUGCCGUGCUUGAGGACUUGGAGAGGAGACUGGAAUUUACGGUGUAGCGGUGAAAUGCGUAGAUAUCGUAAGGAAGACCAGUGGCGAAGGCGGGUCUCUGGACAGUUCCUGACGCUGAGGCACGAAGGCCAGGGGAGCAAACGGGG
rnacentral:rRNA from 1 species